AGUUAAGUGAUUGGAGGGAGCUUUUUAAUCCAUAUUAUUUACUGACAAAGUCCUGAAGAACUUAACCAACCUGAUCAGACGCCUGCACAGAAAACAGGUGGCUAACAGGACAAACGAACAAGGAAGCAUUUUAGUACCCUGAAAUACGCACACUGCAGUAAAUAAGGCUAGGUGCAAAUCUUUUCUGGAAACGGCCAUUUGUUGUGCUCUCUUGGCUAGGCCAGGUAAAUACGGUCGCACCCUCCAACCAAGGAUGUACUAGCUGGUAUUUGCUGCAGUUCCUGUAUUACUGGGUGUGACUGGCAUUCGGCAUAAAGCGCAAAGUGUGUGUACAAACCGAACACCUUCAAGUCAUUUCUAUCGCUAUCUCUCUCCAGAUGUUUUAUCAUGCAUCGCUAGGGACCACAAGUUGACCAUCUUCAUUCAAGGCCAAGAGCCUUUGGUUUAGGACAAUAUUCAGGCUUUUGGAAUACGAUGUCAUUCUGACGGAUGACACCAAAAUGGGAGUGAUGGCCAACUUUGUGUUGCGUAUCAAACGUACAAAACUUGGUACAAACCUUUGUGACUCACCUUCACGCACGUCACAACAAACCAGCACUGCAGUUUUAAGGUGGAUUUUAUUACAACAGCUUGAUAAAACAUUACAAAGGAUGCACACAGGGACCCCUUUUUUUAAGCAGGAAAUAUUAAAACAAA